UUUCUCUAGAAUAGUUAAAAUAAUGAGUGGUGUAGAGUAUUCACACACGUUAAUAAAAAGAAAUCUACAUUUAUGUUCAUAAAAAGCAAUCAAAAUAGCUACUUAAAAAUAUAUUAAAUAGGUAUGAAUAUCUAACUGACUACAAUGCAUGAGUUAAUAUUGACUCGACUUAAUAAGAAUUGGUUCAACUCAAAAUUUUAUCCGAGUUUGAUGUAAUUUUUUAGGUCGAACUAUAUAUACUCAUUUUAAGUUCAUGAACAACUGAGUUCAUCUCAUUUGCUUGAAUCAUAUAAUUCAAAAGUCAAUAUUUUUGUAAGAUAAAAAUAGUAUAUUUUGGAUCUUUGAAAUUUUAAAAGCACAUAUUCAAUUAAAAUAAAAGUUAUCCCAAACACAAAUACAAAUACAAUAUUCAAACUUACAUAAAUUUGCAGAAAAAGAAAGGAUAGUUCCAAGGUUUAAAAACGGGGAAGAAAUAUGUUAAAGAACUUUUCUUUAAAUAUUUAAUUCAAUAAAUUAAAGAUUAAUAAGGUAUAUAAUUUUUGUUAAAAAAACAAUUGUUGAGGUUUAAAGUCUAAUUUUAUGUAUAUAAUCGAGUUGAUUCAUGAACUAAACACAAGUCGAAUUAUAUAUAAAUUAAGUUAAACUCAAUUGAUUCACAAACCAAGUUCAACAAAUUAAUAUUUUAGUUCAGUUUCNNNNNNNNNNNNNNNGGAGUGUGUUUGAGCAAUCACAGUUGCACUUCGGUUUGUCGUGAUGAAGGCUUUGAAUGCGGCGAAUGCAAGAGAUUUCGUAAAGGUUGCUUCUGCUACAACCAUUGUUAACUUAUAUUGCAAUGUGAAUGGUCAAUAUUCCACUGAUAAAUGACGAUAUUGUUAAGUUGAACAUCUUUAUCAGGAUGUAAACUCAAAAGCUUGCAAUUGUGUAUGUUAAUUUAUCAAUCGAAUUAAUUUUAUAGAUUAAUAUGGAAUUUUAUAGACAUGUAUAAUCUAUUGGAUAAUAACUUUCAAUUUAACAAUAAAUUUUAUAAUACGGAUAUACGGUAUUUGUAUAUAUAC
rnacentral:lncRNA from 1 species